UGAUCAUCAAGCUUCAGCUUGGUUUUGGGUACUUGGUUUCUAUAAACCUACCCGUAACUCAUUGGCAGAGUCUUUAAAACUUCUAAGCAUCGCAAAACACUUUGUUUAAGGAAUUUUUGAGAAACUACCGAAAAACCCUCAAAA
rnacentral:misc_RNA from 1 species